UGGGGAAUAUUGGACAAUGGGCGUAAGCCUGAUCCAGCCAUGCCGCGUGAGCGAAGAAGGCCCUAGGGUUGUAAAGCUCUGUCAGGGGUUAAGAGAUAGGUUAAUACCCUGUUUAUUUGACAAAAGCCCCAAAGGAGCACGGCUAACUCU
rnacentral:rRNA from 1 species